AUGCUAUGUGGGAAGGACGAUGCUAUAUACGACGGGUGGCAAGAUGGGUUCAGAGGUUUGUUCGACCCGUGUUUUGUUGACGAGAUUUGCAGAGAUGAUGGUGAAACUGACUGGGAUUACAUAGACACUGUGAUGAACUCAGAAAUGAUGGGGUACAAGAUUGAUUGGUUGACAAAGUUGUGGUUCCCAUCAAAAUUCAUGGAUUGUUGGGUGAUGUACCUUAUGGACAAGGACAAGAAAACCAUGAUGGUCCUUGACCCUACGGAGACAGAUGUGAUGGAUGAGAUGAAGAUCAAGCAUGAAGCCCGUGCAAAAAAAUUCCAACGUAGAUUCCGUUCUCUUUUCAACAACUUCUUCGGCAACGGGUUGGUUGACACCGAUGGCUGGACAUUCUUAUACCCACUAGUGGCGCAGCAUGAGCCUUGCAGCAGGGAAGACAGCGGAGUGUACAUCACACACUACUACACUGAUUUCACCGGUCUGUACCUCCGGUCGACGCUGACUCAGGACUAA
rnacentral:rRNA from 1 species